UGAUUCCUCAAAUUUCUGCUAAUGUCUGCAUUGGUGUUUUAGCUGCAGUAUGGCAGAGAAGCAAGUAAAGGACUCUCUCUCAAAGAACGACAGUGUGAGAUCAGGAUCACGUGUGUCUUUGAAGAGUGACUGGUCAAAAAAGGAUAUACCACCAGAGUUUAGUGAGAAAACACCAUCAUCUGCCAAAAGGGUUGAAUAUGAGUUACCAGAUUCAGGAGACGAGACUCACAGGAGACACAAGAGCUUCACAGCCAAUCUCCC